rnacentral:lncRNA from 1 species
GCGGCUUGACACAGGGUUGGUACGUAGCGUCUGUCCUGGGCGUUGGUCCACCGGGAUUGCGUUUAUCUGGCGACCCCAUGGAGUUCACAGGCUCGGAAAAACCAAUCUAACGUUGGGCUGAGGCAUGAGAAUCGUUUGAACCCGGGAGGCGGAGGUUGCAGUGAGCCGAGAUUGUGCCACUGCACUCCAGCCUGGGCGACAGAG